AAGUCGUAACAAGGUUUCCGUAGGUGAACCUGCGGAAGGAUCAUUAACGUGCCCGCGAGGCCGGUGGUCGUCCCGCGGCCGCCGGUUCUUGCAUCCGGCCCAUCCUUGUCUAUCUUACCUGUUGCUUCGGCGGGCCUGCGGGCGGUGUCUGACGCCGUCCGCUGCCGGGAGGGUUCUUCCCUCCGGGCUCGCGUCCGCCGAAGGUCACCUGAAACCCUGUUGUAAAUCUGGCGGUCUCAGUGAACGGAUAAUCGUUAAAACUUUCAACAACGGAUCUCUUGGUUCCAACAUCGAUGAAGAACGCAGCGAAAUGCGAUAAGUAAUGUGAAUUGCAGAAUUCCGUGAAUCAUCGAAUCUUUGAACGCACAUUGCGCCUCCCGGUAUCCCGGGAGGCAUGCCUGUCCGAGCGUCAUUGCAACCCCUCAAGCGCGGCUUGUGUGUUGGGUCGAACGUCCCGCGUGGACGGGCCCGAAAGGCAGUGGCGGCGUCGUGACCGGUGCCUGAGCGUAUGGGUCUUGUUAUCCGCUCGGUGGCCCGGUCCGGUGCUCGCCUUGACCGUCAACGUCUCUCGUGGUUGACCUCGGAUCAGGUAGGGAUACCCGCUGAACUUAA
rnacentral:rRNA from 1 species